AUUGAACGCUGGCGGCAGGCCUAACACAUGCAAGUCGAACGAGUGGCGGACGGGUGAGUAAUGUCUGGGAAACUGCCCGAUGGCGGGGGAUAACUACUGGAAACGGUAGCUAAUACCGCAUACCAUCGGAUGUGCCCAGAUGGGAUUAGCUAGUGGGUGGGGUAACGGCUCACCUAGGCGACGAUCCCUAGCUGGUCUGAGAGGAUGACCGGCAACACGGGAACGUAGACACGGUCCAGACUCCUACGGGAGGCAGCAGGGGGGAAUUGUGCACAAUGGGGGCAAGCCGGAUGCAGCCAUGCCGCGUGUAUGAAGAAGGCCUUCGGGUUGAAAAGUACUUUCAGCGAGGAGGCGUUACUCACAGAGGAAGCACCGGCUAACUCCGUGCCAGCAGCCGCGGUAAUUC
rnacentral:rRNA from 1 species